GAUGAAGAACGUAGCGAAAUGCGACACUUGGUGUGAAUUGCAGAAUCCCGUGAACCAUCGAGUCUUUGAAUGCAAGUUGCGCUCGAGGCCGUUAGGUCGAGAGCACGUCUGUUUGGGUGUCAUGCCUUGCGUCGUUCCUACCAUCCAUCUAUGGUAGACAUAGUUCGGGUGACGAUGGAUGUGGAGAUUGACCCUCCGUCCUUCAACAGAACGGUUGGUUUAAGGGAAUGUUAUCGCUAGGCCCACGCGCGGCGAACGGAGUAUCGAGGCAACCAAGAUGUUUCAAACUGCGUCGAGGCGUCAUAAGUGCGAUGCAACAUUAAAAGAAACCAAUCUCGAUGUUUGCCUGAGUCGCAAACUCGGACCAUGACCUCAGAUCAGACGGGGCCACCCGCUGAGUUUAAGCAUAUCAAUAAGCGGAGGA
rnacentral:misc_RNA from 1 species